CCUAAAAAUAGAAAAAGUUUGUAGUUACUCUCAAAAUUCCCCCAAAUCCCCUACUUUAAUGCAUUAGAACCCUCUUUUUUUUCUUCACUGUGUCCAUAAUAUAUUUUCCAACAGGUCUAAUCAAUGGUGCUCUAACUACAGAACAGCGAAUCUUAACCUGGGGACCAUGGGUCAUGAAUGGACUGCAGAAAUUCUGUGACCUCCUGAUCUUGCUGUUGCCUUGAUCAUAGUGGAAGUCUGAUUGUCUGUUAGCUUCUUGAUACAUCGUUGCCCUGCCACAAUAUUACAGACCUACAAAUGGAAAAAAGUUUUGUACUACAUGUAUAUAUCUUUUUUUUUUAGCUCUUACUUAGUGCCAAUUACAUGUAAAUAAAAAUUUAAAAUC
rnacentral:lncRNA from 10 species